rnacentral:rRNA from 1 species
CCUACGGGGAGCUGCAGUGGGGAAUAUUGGACAAUGGGCGAAAGCCUGAUCCAGCCAUGCCGCGUGUGUGAAGAAGGCCUUCGGGUUGUAAAGCACUUUCAGUGGGGAAGAAAGCCUUGGGGCUAAUACCCUCGAGGAGGACAUCACCCACAGAAGAAGCACCGGCUAACUCCGUGCCAGCAGCCGCGGUAAUACGGAGGGUGCGAGCGUUAAUCGGAAUUACUGGGCGUAAAGCGCGCGUAGGCGGUCUGAUAAGCCGGUUGUGAAAGCCCCGGGCUCAACCUGGGAACGGCAUCCGGAACUGUCAGGCUAGAGUGCAGGAGAGGAAGGUAGAAUUCCCGGUGUAGCGGUGAAAUGCGUAGAGAUCGGGAGGAAUACCAGUGGCGAAGGCGGCCUUCUGGACUGACACUGACGCUGAGGUGCGAAAGCGUGGGUAGCAAACAGGAUUAGAUACCCUAGUAGUC